rnacentral:lncRNA from 1 species
GCAGUAUUAAGGAAAGAGGAGGUUCCCCCACAGUGGAAGCUGAUUCCCAGACCUCAGUUAUUGGGGGUAGGGGGUGAUACAAGGUCUGAAGAAACCAAGGAUUGGCUUACUUGCAAGGAUGUAGGUGGUAGUCAGGGAGACAUAUGUCCUCUGGUGGCAUCAGCCUGACAGCUAAGCUGCUGGGACAGGAUAUUUUGGGGGAAACUGAGGUGUUCAUCACUACAGAUCACAAAGGGAUAUAUGAUGAUAUCCUAGAGGAAGAGGAGUACCAGCAACAGUUUGGCCUAUCAGGUUCCCUUAGCAGUUACCGGGGGAUUCACUUUUUGAGACAUCGAGGCAGAACACUCCUGCACUCAGUGUGAGGCCUCAUCCCUCAAUCAUAGAGGCCGCUGUUCCCACCAUUCAAUGGCUUCCAGGCCCUCUAGUGUGGGUGGAACAGUGGCCACUUCCCCUAGAUAAACUACAAAAUCUAAAGGAGAUAAUAUCAGAACAAUUGACCCUAGGGCAUAUUAGGCCCUCCCUGAGCCCUUGUAAUAGUCCUGGACUGACAUAAAAAAGGCCACAGGGAAAUGGAGAAUGUUACAGGACCUAAGAAAGAUUAAUGAGCAGAUGAUUCCCAUUGUCAUCCCCUUGCGAGGGCUACCCUGGAUCCCCUCCAUCUCUCGGUAUUUGACUCUCAUUGUGAUUGAUAUCAAGGAUUGCUUCUUUUCUAUUCCCCUUGAUCCCCAGGACUGUGAGAAGUUUGCCUUCUCCAUUCCCUCUGUUAACUUCCAGGGCCCAGACCAAAGAUAUGAGUGGGUGGUGUUACCCCAGGGCAUGGCUAACAGUCCAGCUUUUUGUCAACAUUAUGUUUCACAAGUCCUGCAACCCCUUUGGAGGCGAUGGGACAUAAUUCUAUAUGUUCACAUGGAUGACAUCAUUAUUGGGGCGGCCGACACCAAAGUGUUAGGCUCCACCUAUAAGGAACUCCAGACUCUCUUACAAAAGGGAACAUUACAUAUAUCUAAUGACAAGGUCCAGACCUUACCCCAUUUUAAAAUUCUAGGGGUCAAACUUAAGUUGGACUCUGUCUGUCCCCUUAAGCCUCAAUUAUUUUUCCAGUCGUCCUACAUCUUGGUGGAAUUACAAAAACUGUUGGGCGAACUCAACUGGUUAAGGCCUUGGCUUCACCUGCCUACAGAAGACCUGCGUCCACUUUUCGAGUCUUUAAGAGAUAAAGUCCCCACAGAUGUCAUCAC